AAUAUUGGACAAUAGAAAACAACUCUGAUCCAGCAAUGCCGCGUGCGUGAAGAAGGCCUUUGGUUGUAAAACACUUUCAAUAGAGGAGAAAAGUUUUCGGUUAAUACCCAUGAGUCUGUCGUUAACUAUAGAAGAAGCUCAACUAACUCCGGCAAGCAGCGUAAGUAAUACGGAGGGAGCGAAUCUAAUAGGAAUUACUGGGAAUAAAGCGCAGGUAGGCGAUUAUAUAAGUGGGAUGUGAAAGCCCAGGGCUCAACCCUGGAAUUGCAUUCGAUGUGCAGAAAUAGAGUACGGUAGAGGGAAGUUAAUUUCCGAGUAGCGGUUACCUCGUAGUUUUUGGAAGGAACACCAGUGGCGAAGGGGUCUUCCUUGGUCAAUACUGACGAGGGGGGGAGAAAGGGUGGGGGGCCUGCGGGAUUAGCUCCCGUGGUAGUCCACCCCGUA
rnacentral:rRNA from 1 species